UGGGGAAUCUUCCGCAAUGGACGAAAGUCUGACGGAGCAACGCCGCGUGAGUGAAGAAGGUUUUCGGAUCGUAAAACUCUGUCUUUUGGGGCGAACGUGAGUAUGGUGAACAAUCAUAGUCAGUGACGGUACCAAAGGAGGAAGCCACGGCUAACUACGUGCCAGCAGCCGCGGUAAUACGUAGGUGGCAAGCGUUGUCCGGAAUUAUUGGGCGUAAAGAGCGCGUAGGCGGGAUAGUCAGUCUGUUGUAAAGUGCGGGCUCAACCCCGUGAUCGCAAUGGAAACAGCUAUUCUUGAGUGCAGGAGAGGAAAGUGGAAUUCCCAGUGUAGCGGUGAAAUGCGUAGAUAUUGGGAGGAACACCAGUGGCGAAGGCGACUUUCUGGACUGUGUCUGACGCUGAGGCGCGAAAGCCAGGGGGAGCGAACGGGGAUUUAGAUACCCCCGGUAGUCCUGGCCGUAAACGAUGGGUACUAGGUGUGGGAGGUAUCGACCCCCUUCCGUGCCGGAGUUAANGCAAUAAGUACCCCCGCCUGGGGAGUACGGUCGCAAGACUGAAACUCAAAUGAAUUGAC
rnacentral:rRNA from 1 species